rnacentral:rRNA from 1 species
GACGAACGCUGGCGGCGUGCUUAACACAUGCAAGUCGAACGGUAAGGCCCUGCUUUUGUUGGGUGCUCGACUGGCGAACGGGUAACUAACACGUAAGUAACCUGCCCCUGACGUUGGGAUAACUUAAAGUAGCUGUAGCACAUACUGUAUAGGCGCUCCUCCUGCAUGGUGGGGGUUGGAACGUGUGGGCGGGUGGGGAUGGACUCGCGGCUUGUCAGCUUGUUGGUGGGUAAUUGGCUAACCAAGGCACUGACGGGUGGCCGGCCGGAGAGGGUGACCGGCCACAUUGGGAUGGAGAUCCGGCCCGACUUCCUACGGGAGGCAGCAGUGGGGAAUAUUCACCAAGGGGCGGAAGCCGGAUGCAGCACCGCCGCGUGCGGGAUGACGGCCUUCGGGUGGUAACCCGCUUCCGCAGGUGACGAAGUGUGAGUGACGGUAAUUGGUAAAGAAGCACCGGCUAACUACGUG